UAAAUGCGCAUGGGGGCGCGGCGCAUUCCUCCACGACUAAAACCAGUUCAAGUGAUAAUAUAAGUGCAGUGAGAGAUCCGAAGAGGCGUUUAACAACCUUAGGUGAACAUCGUUGAUCUAUUUGGAAAUACUACACUGUACAGAGGUGUUUGAACAUAUGAGUGACUGGCACACCCUUCUCAAUCGCUGGUCAAGAAGCUUGAAUUCAUCUGAAUUAUCAUGUCAAACAAGCAUGUAAAGUGUCCAUAGUGUUCUCAAAGACAUAAACUGACUGGCAGUGAUGAAGAACUCUGACCUCAAUCAUGCUGUGUUAACUGGAUAUGAAUUCCUGGACACAUCCAAGCACAGUGACUCGUUAAAAAUAUUCUGAGG